rnacentral:rRNA from 1 species
UACAGAGGUCCCAAGCGUUGUUCGGAUUCACUGGGCGUAAAGGGUGCGUAGGCGGUCGGGUAAGUCUGAUGUGAAAUCUCACAGCUUAACUGUGAAACUGCAUUGGAUACUAUCCGGCUAGAGGAAUGGAGGGGAGACUGGAAUACUUGGUGUAGCAGUGAAAUGCGUAGAUAUCAAGUGGAACACCAGUGGCGAAGGCGAGUCUCUGGACAUUUCCUGACGCUGAGGCACGAAAGCCAGGGGAGCAAGCGGG